UCAGUAUGCCUACGCACAAGUCUAGCUGUCAUGUGUUUACCUCUGAUAUCAGGAAAACCCAACAGGAAUGAAUUGACCGGUAGAGUCCUCCGGGUCUAGAUGCAUCCAAACUGAGGCAAGACAUUCUGUUUUUUUCCUGAGUGUUUUUUUUUUGUGGAGUUUAUAUUCUGUAGAGUGUCAUCAGCCUCUUCAUGUGGACUUACCGCUCAUAAACCCCAUGACGCUUUGCAGCAGACCUUCAUGCUGAUGGAUGAAAAAUGGAUGGUUUGUUGCUCAUCCAUCAAACAAACACAAACCUUCACAGACACCUUUUGUACAAACCAACACAGCAAUGGAACUGAAUGAAUAUAUCAGCAUCUGAACACAACUGUUAGCACAGCGAUGUGACAGAAGGUAAAAGAGUGUUUUUGAUUGGUAGAGCUGCAGCCCCGCCCUUGGUUCCGUCCCAGAAUGCUGAGCCCGGUUCUCUGUUCAGAUCUCGCAGCCUUGGAGCCAGAGUACACAGAGGCGGAUGUCAUCUCUACGGUGGAGUUCAACCAGACUGGAGAGUUCUUGGCCACGGGAGAUAAGGGUGGGAGGGUUGUCAUCUUUCAGAGAGAACCACAGGUCAGACAAAUCUCUGACAAACACAUUUUUUAUGCUUCCCUAUUUCACAAACUUCCUAUU